CGCCGUUUUACAGACUGUCAUUUGUAUUUUGCUGACGCCACUGCAACUGCCACUUCACAAAUCGGAAACUCACACUAAGUGAGCUGCCAAAGUCCAAGAUCGCUUUUAGCUCCAAGCGCAGACAUUACGAAAUUGCCAAACAAUGCCAAAAUGCGAGUGCAAAGCGUUCUGCGCCAAUUGUAUGGAAUAAACAACAAAGAGAAAACUGUAACUCACUGGAACACGUCACCAGAAAUGCCUCAGACAACAACGUGUCCCCACAUAUCUACGUGGACUUCAGUUGCCUGUUUCGCACAAGACUCGGCAUACCAAAAAUCAAAGAGUGACUAACUCUUUCACUUGCUGCUUGGCCACCUGCGUGCUCGAUUCCGCGUCGAUCAGCUGCGAUAUUGUUUACGAUUGGAAACGUACCUACAGCGCUUGCAUAAAUGCCACUUGAACUUUGGUCAAGGUGUCGCUUAUGUCGUUUAUGGAAAAUGGAAACGGGAACUACCGACUGCCUUGACAUUGCAACGGGCGGGCGGUGGCGUGAAGCGGGCGAGGCGGCGUUACGUGAGUGUCUGCCAUGCCGCCGACUGCUUCGCUCCCUCGAGCGGCGGCUCUCUGGCGAAUAAUGGGGUAACAAAAUCAUCGUAUGACUGUGUCAAAGUCCGAAAUAAAAAUACUUUUUGCAGUCGCAGUACACACAUAAAAACGAGAAGAAUUGCUCAAACGAGAUUGAAAUAAAGAAAACAACAGUUGUGCACAGAGCGAAAUAACACUUGUUCGGUGGCUUGUUUUAGAGAUUUGAAGGGGGAGCACACAAAACCUGUUGUUUUACGAAAUAAACGGCGUAUAUAAAUAAA